rnacentral:rRNA from 1 species
UGCAAGUCGAGCGGACCGACGGGAGCUUGCUCCCUUAGGUCAGCGGCGGACGGGUGAGUAACACGUGGGUAACCUGCCUGUAAGACUGGGAUAACUCCGGGAAACCGGGGCUAAUACCGGAUGCUUGAUUGAACCGCAUGGUUCAAUCAUAAAAGGUGGCUUUUAGCUACCACUUACAGAUGGACCCGCGGCGCAUUAGCUAGUUGGUGAGGUAACGGCUCACCAAGGCGACGAUGCGUAGCCGACCUGAGAGGGUGAUCGGCCACACUGGGACUGAGACACGGCCCAGACUCCUACGGGAGGCAGCAGUAGGGAAUCUUCCGCAAUGGACGAAAGUCUGACGGAGCAACGCCGCGUGAGUGAUGAAGGUUUUCGGAUCGUAAAACUCUGUUGUUAGGGAAGAACAAGUACCGUUCGAAUAGGGCGGUACCUUGACGGUACCUAACCAGAAAGCCACGGCUAACUACGUGCCAGCAGCCGCGGUAAUACGUAGGUGGCAAGCGUUGUCCGGAAUUAUUGGGCGUAAAGCGCGCGCAGGCGGUUUCUUAAGUCUGAUGUGAAAGCCCCCGGCUCAACCGGGGAGGGUCAUUGGAAACUGGGGAACUUGAGUGCAGAAGAGGAGAGUGGAAUUCCACGUGUAGCGGUGAAAUGCGUAGAGAUGUGGAGGAACACCAGU